rnacentral:rRNA from 1 species
GGGGAAUAUUGGACAAUGGGCGAAAGCCUGAUCCAGCCAUGCCGCGUGUGUGAAGAAGGUCUUCGGAUUGUAAAGCACUUUAAGUUGUGAGGAAGGGAAGAAAGUUAAUACCUUGCUGUUUUGACGUUACCAACUGAAUAAGCACCGGCUAACUCUGUGCCACCAGCCGCGGUAAUACGGAGGGUGCAAGCGUUAAUCGGAAUUACUGGGCGUAAAGCGCGCGUAGGUGGUUCGUUAAGUUGGAUGUGAAAACCCCGGGCUCAACCUGGGAACUGCAUCCAAAACUGGCGAGCUAGAGUACUGUAGAGGGUGGUGGAAUUUCCUGUGUACGGUGAAAUGCGUAGAUAUAUGAAGGAACACCAGUGGCCAAUGCGACCACGUGGACUGAUACUGACACUGUGGUGCGAAAGCGUGGGGAGCAAACAAGAUUAGAUACCCUGGUACUCCGCGCCUCCACACCAUGUCAACUAGUCCGUUGGA